rnacentral:rRNA from 1 species
GAUGAACGCUGGCGGCGUGCCUAAUACAUGCAAGUCGAACGAACGGACGAGAAGCUUGCUUCUCUGAUGUUAGCGGCGGACGGGUGAGUAACACGUGGAUAACCUCCCUAUUAGACUGGGAUAACUUCGGGAAACAGGAGCUAAUACCGCAUAAUAUUUUGAACCGCAUGGUUCAAAAGUGAAAGACGGUCUUGCUGACACUGAUAGAAGGAUCCGCGCUGCAUUAGCUAGUUGGUAAGGUAACGGCCUACCAAGGCAACGAUGAAUAGCCGACCUGAGAGGGUGAUCGGCCACACUGGAACUGAGACACGGUCCAGACUCCUACGGGAGGCAGCAGUAGGGAAUCUUCCGCAAUGGGCGAAAGCCUGACGGAGCAACGCCGCGUGAGUGAUGAAGGUCUUCGGAUCGUAAAACUCUGUUAUUAGGGAAGAACAUAUGUGUAAGUAACUGUGCACAUCUUGACGGUACCUAAUCAGAAAGCCACGGCUAACUACGUG